rnacentral:lncRNA from 1 species
AUGGGCUGUUACAGUGAGAAGGAUGAGCACUCCAGGUUGUUGGCAUUUUCCACAGUCACUGUGUACGUCCCAGCAUCGGAGUCAUCUGCAUCGUUGAUGGUCAGCGCCCGCAACAAGCCAAUGACGCCGGGCACAAUUUUGCCGGGUUUCUCCACGACAAUCUUGCCAUCCUUCCUCCAGACCACGUCACGCUCUUUGUUUAACUCACAGCUUAAGUACAGCGGCUGUCCUCUGACCACUGUGACUUCCUCUUCAAGCGUUUUUACAAAACGCACAGGAAGUUCUAUGGAGAAUUGCAAUAUUAAAAAGUGGCAGAGACUUUUCAAUACAUACAAUAUUUUCAAUGAGAUAAAACUUGGGAAGAAAUUUUGUUUAAGGGACAAUAAAAAUUGCUACGUUAACGUUGUGUUAACGUUCCAUGGGGGCCAUAUUCAGAAGACUGGAAAUUACCUUCAACAAUCAGUUUAGCCGUGGAGGUCUUCUCCUUAUUUCCCAGACGUAGAACACAGGUGUAUUCGCCAGCAUCAGAAAGUUGAACAUCAAUGAUAUGCAGCUUUCUGUCUUUGCCAUCAGCGAUGAAUCUGUACUUUGGGCUCUCACGGAUAUUGCUACCAUCUUUCAUCCAGGUUGUAACUGCAGUGGACGGGGAAAUUAAACACUCAAAGAUUGCAGAAGAGCCAACUGACUCUGCUUCAGUCAAGACAAUGUCUUUGAUUUCUUUCACAAACUUCAAUGGCACAGCCUUCAGCUGGUAGGUGAACGGGGCUUCGUCAGGCGGCUUCUCUCCACCACUUCCUGGUCUUAACUUUUUCCUUUCAGCUUCUAUUGGUGAAGGAGUCUUUUUGGCUACACCUAAUUCAAAAUAAAAUUAAAAGUUGAAUUGGCAUUUCCAUAUGGGUCAGUAAGUGCAUACCUGGCUGUCUGCUGGGUAAAGCCAGUGAUAGUGUGACCACGAGACAAGAGGGGAAAAUUAAAGAUGAGGCAACUAUCAAUUGAAUUUAUCCUGCAUUCUUUCAGAAAGAAAAUGAGGAGGCAAAAGGAAUCCACGGAUAAUAAACACUCUGCAUUUUCUCAAGUUUGAAAGCCAAAUGUAUAAUGUCCAGAUUAAUGUCUCAUUAUUUCAUCUAUGAUGUAUAAAUACCAUGUAUAUGGAGAAUGAAGCUUGGAGCCUGUAGGGUUCAUUAUCCUAAAGUGUAUAUGUUACAUAUGUAAUAUCCAAUUGAGUAAUAUUAGAGGUGUAUUCAUUGUGAUAUUAAAAGACAUACUAGUGUUCGCAGAAUCAAUUAGAAAUCAUAAAGAUAUAAAUUUUGAAAUCUUCCCCCUUGAACAGAAAACUGCCCUUGAAAGUAAAGUUUCCAGAGUGAAAGGUUUUACAACUCAGGUACAGGGAAAUGAAUCUUACCUUUGAUGGGACCUUUUGGCUUGGCAGCCUCUUCUUUCGGUGCUUUGGCUUCUGAAAUAAAAAUAAAACCCAGCAUUUAAACAAUUUUCAGACUUAUUUCAUGCUUAGUAGUAAACCAUGUGGGC